rnacentral:misc_RNA from 1 species
CCUGCACACGGAAACUUAAAGUUCCAAAUAAGAAAAAAAAAAGUAUCCUUCCUAGUAAGAAAAGAGCAAACAGAAUGUUAAGGAAAAAUAAAAAGAGAUUCAACCACUGGAAAGUAACGUACUUUAGACAGGCAAAUAUCAGUAGUGGCCUCGGCAUUUUAAGAGCAAGAGCAUAAAUGUAAGACAAGUUCAUUGGUACAUUACACACCAGGCAACUAUAAAUAAAGAAAAUAGUAACAUGUUCAAAGUUCAUUUCGAAAUCUUGCUAAUUCCAUAAAUAAGAGAACCAAGUUGAUUUCUCAACUCAACUAUGCCUUAGGGCUAAACUAAUUUGGGUCAGCUAUAUGGACAUCCCCAAGUUGUUUAAGCAUACAAUAUGCCAGUCCUUUAUUUGAAUUCUUCUCUCGCAAUAUUUUGCGACUUAUGUAAAAACCUCGGAAAUCUUACUUAAUAUCAGCAUUACUAAUUUACUAUAUCCAACUACAUGUAGUAUUUUGCCUAUAACUAAUAGAUAACAUUGCUAAAAACUUGAUAAUAUAUUUUGUAACAGUGACAUGAAAUCAGGCAAGAAUAAGAUGAUAAUUCAGAGGGUGCUAGCGUCAAGAGACAAACAAUCUGCUACUCAUAGCUGGUUAAAAGUAUGAAAAAGAAGGAAAACUAUAGGCCAUGAGAAACUAUCACUGAGAAAUCAACUAUAUAACUGCUGAGCAUUCAGGAGACAGUAACACAAAAUGAAGAAACAUAUACAUAGGUCUAUUGAUUAAAACAAACCAGUAAUAAUUAAGCCCACAUACUACUCACAUUGCAGACCAACUUAUGGACCAGAAAGAUGCAAUUGGUGCUUAAAGAAUUCUAUCACAUGACAGGUUCUGCAUUUAUUAUUACAGAAGAUUGAAAUACACUAUUGGGCAUAGUUUUUCUCUUUAAUUUGAGACAAGCACAUAAUCUUUAAUCUCCUCUUUCAUUGAUGAUGUUGCUUUGAAAUGUUAGAGAAAAGAACUACCAGGGAACAACGUAUAAAAUGCACAAGUUUUUGACACAACUUUUAACCUUAAAAAGCAGCACUUGUUUAGUGAGAGUGUAUCAGAGUAAUAUAAUUAUCACUAGAAAACCCUGAUGUUUACAGAUGCUGAACUUACUGUGACAAAGACCAUAUCAGAACCAUAAAGUGCCUCUUCUAU